UGACAUAGAAAAUUUAUUCUGUACAAGGGCAGCCCAAUUCAUGGCUACAUCGACCUUGCAUGCAAAGGCCAUCGCUCUGCUCGAGAUGUUGAAGGAGGCGAUCAAGCGUGGAAUCUCUAAAGCUAUAGUUGAAAUAAAUUCUUAAAACUUGUUCUCUUAUGUUAGUUCACAGAUUGAACCUCCUUGGCGACUCCAAAAUAUCAUUAAUCGAUGCACAUCUCUGGUGAAGCAUUUGCAGCAGUGCAUUUUUGUUAAAAUAUAUCGUGAAGCCAAUAGGGCCACUGAUUAUUUAGCAAGUCAUGCGCUUAAUUCAAGAAGUAAACUGGUUUUUAAUUCUACCAGUCACCUUCCUAUAGACUUUGUUAGGAUACUUUUUGAAGACUGUGCAAGUAGAGUCUUUUUGAGCAAAAUGUAAUUGAUUUUUGCUUUUAAUAAAUUAGCUUGGUGGUUUUUU
rnacentral:lncRNA from 1 species